AGUGUGCUGGUCGGGCUGUUCGCGGUGGCCGGGAUCCUGUCCUGGGCGGGCGCCCGGCUGUGGGACUCGGUCGGCACCCUGCC
rnacentral:tRNA from 1 species